AACGUAGGAGGCUAGCGUUAUCCGGAUUUAUUGGGCGUAAAGCGUGUGCAGGCGGUUUAGCAAGUUGGAUGUGAAAGCUCCUGGCUUAACUGGGAGAGGUCGUUCAAAACUGCUAGACUAGAGAAUGGGAGAGGGAGGUGGAAUUCCGGGUGUAGUGGUGAAAUGCGUAGAUAUCCGGAGGAACACCAGUGGCGAAAGCGGCCUCCUAGACCAUUUCUGACGCUAAGACACGAAAGCUAGGGUAGCAAACGGG
rnacentral:rRNA from 1 species